UAAACCCAAACUCUGGUUUGACUAAAUCUGAAGUGUUAAAAAGCCCACAUCAAUGGAACACAGAUAAGAUUCACCAUGGCAACAGGUG